UGGCAUCGCACGGGGGAGGGACAAAAUGGGUGCUGUGCAAUUCCCUUCGAGUCCGGCCAUGCGAGACGCCGCAGAGAGCCCGGCGUGCCUUCGGCGACAGGCCUGCAGAGGAUCGGGGACUUUGGAAUUUGGAAGUGCGCGCCCUGCCGACACCCGGCUAAACGUGGCUAAAACGACGUUCAGAAAGCUAGGAACAUUGCCGGGGGAGUGUAGGUGAAUCCUUUCUUGAAAUACUACACUUCAUCCAUGCCAAGGGAUAGUCGGAAAAAUCCAUGCCGUAAGGCCGUCUGGAACUCUGGAUAGUGGAGUUCAGAACAGUCGUUUCUACGUUCCACCGUUCAUCAGGUGAAGGUGAGCACUAGAAACAUCUGGUAUUCAUCUUCGAUCUGUACCUCAGCUCCUAACUGUAAUCCUCGCAUAGAAGUGCCAGAAAUGUUUACAUACAGUAGGGAACGCCGCUUGCCGAGCUGGGGCCAAAAUCCUGGGUGUCAAAGUCUUCUAAAAUCUUUGGCACUUUACAUAUUCUCACGCAAAUGCCACAAAAAUUGUGUUGUGUUGCGAAAAACAUGUGGCAUUAACUCACCCCCACAGGUUUUGAAUAUGGCUCCGCCUC